UUUAAAGAGAGUUUGAUCCUGGCUCAGGACGAACGCUGGCGGCGUGCCUAAUACAUGCAAGUCGAACGAACGGAGGAAGAGCUUGCUCUUCCAAAGUUAGUGGCGGACGGGUGAGUAACACGUGGGCAACCUGCCUGUAAGUUGGGGAUAACUCCGGGAAACCGGGGCUAAUACCGAAUGAUAAAGUGUGGCGCAUGCCACGCUUUUGAAAGAUGGUUUCGGCUAUCGCUUACAGAUGGGCCCGCGGUGCAUUAGCUAGUUGGUAGGGUAAUGGCCUACCAAGGCAACGAUGCAUAGCCGACCUGAGAGGGUGAUCGGCCACACUGGGACUGAGACACGGCCCAGACUCCUACGGGAGGCAGCAGUAGGGAAUCUUCCGCAAUGGACGAAAGUCUGACGGAGCAACGCCGCGUGUAUGAAGAAGGUUUUCGGAUCGUAAAGUACUGUUGUUAGAGAAGAACAAGGAUAAGAGUAACUGCUUGUCCCUUGACGGUAUCUAACCAGAAAGCCACGGCUAACUACGUGCCAGCAGCCGCGGUA
rnacentral:rRNA from 1 species